GGGCCUAUAGCUCAAUGGUCAGAGCAGAGGACUCAUAAUCCUUUGGUUCCAGGUUCGAGUCCUGGUGGGCCCA
rfam:Lysobacter arseniciresistens ZS79 contig32, whole genome shotgun sequence.